UUUGCUGGAUUUACUGGGGACUCACUCCCAUACCCAAGGGCAGAUUGGCUAUAGAGAGGUGGUUUGCUCACUGCCAACCAAACCUGCUCUCUGAAAGCAGAGCUUUGUCUUUUUCUGCUUUAUGACCUCAGCUUUGGAGAAGGCUUUGGCUCCCCAAGUGUGGCCCAAAAACUUGGAUGAUGAUGCACGGGGUAGAAGGCAACAAACGAGCUGCCCUUGGUGGCAGUGACCUGAGCUGGGUCCACUCCUUGGGCUUGGGUGAUGAAUACAAAAAGUCAGCCAAGACCAUCCUGCUGAUAGGGAAAGAAGGACUCAUGAUAACCCUGUACCAGGUACUGCCACACAGACUUUCUCCUUCAAUCCUCUGCAAACUUGUGAAACUCUUAUCUGUUUUACAGAUACAAAAACUGCAGCUCAGAAAGGGCAAAUGGUCUGUCCAAAGGUACCCAGUUUAGAAGUGACCCACUGGAAUUUGAACCCUAGGUCUGUUGAACUCUGAAAUUUAUGAUGUUUUGUUUUGUCUUGUUGUUUUUUUUUUUUUUUUUCCCACUUCACCACUCUUUAUAUCUGCAGAGUGCAGUAGGGAGUAGGUGGAGGUGGGAUGAAUACCAUGAUAGGCCCCCGUGAACCCAAAUCUGUGGCUUGAUGGACUCCAGGGAAGAAUGUAUAGCUAGUCCCAUCCUUGUCUGAUCUUGGCAGAUGCUUCAGUGAGGUUAUAGAAAGCUAAUUCCACUUCCCAGUGCUCCAUUUGAACAUGUGCUCCUAUGCUCAGCUGGUUUUAGGUGUGGCUUUGGUUUCUGAGCAGAAACUCUCUUUCCAUGAAAUAAUGACAUCCUUAAGGUGUUGUGCUUUGCUUGUCGUUCAGAGAAGACAGCACUUCCAGGAAAUGCACUAUACAAUAUGGAUGGAUCCCCUGUCCAGAGAGGAAACCAGGCGCACCCUUCACUACAGGAAAGAACUUGCUCCCUGACCUGCCAGCCAGGUGGAAUUUCAUUUCUUUGUGCUCUCGGGAUCUGGUGCUUUGAAGAACUGGCUUCAUUAGCCACUAACAGAGAUGCACUUGUCAAAACAUCAGCAACUGACUUUUUUGUGUGUGCUUAAGAGAUCACAGAUAUUUUUGUACUGGUGCUAUCAGAGGUUGGAAGGAUUGCUAUAGCUACAUGUUCUUGCCCCUCUCUCUAAGGUCUAUGGCAAUGAGUAGCAAUGAUAAUAAUUAUGAUAGUGAUAAUAGCAAACCAUUCACUAUAUGUUUUGUGCUGGGCACUGUAGUAAGUUCAUUUUAUGUUCAAAACAACCUUCUGAAGUAUGUGUCAUUUAGGAUUCAUUUGACUGCAAGUGGCAGAAACCCAAUUUCAAUGGUUUAACCAAUGGAGGGAUUUAUUUUUCUCAUGUAAUAGGAAGUCCAGCUGUAAGCACUUCAGAGUGAGUAUGCAGGCCCCAUGGUGCCAUCAAGAACCCAGUCUCUUUUGCUGGAGGCUUGCUUCCUCAUGUAUGCAGCAUAGCUGUUCUAUUUUGUGCUUCACAACUAAUUUUUAGGCAGGAAGUAUUUGAAAGAAGGGAGAAGCUAAGUAGCACAAACUGACAAGGUGAAUGCAAGCUGGAUGUGUGCCCUCUAACAGGCUUUCUCAGAAACUCCAGCUGGUACCUCCACUUGCAGCUCCUUGUCCAGAACUGUGUUGCAUGACCACAUCUAGCUGCAAGGAAGUUGGGUAAUCCAAGAGCAUUUAAGUGAGCCCCUUGUUAGUAAGAAAGAAAGGAGAACUAGCUAUUGGUUCCAUAACCAGUCAUGCCUAGCUUAAGUAGUUAAUGUUUGUUCAAAAUUUACAGACAAAGAAAGUGAAAUUGGAGAAGUUAAGUAUUUACCAAAGGCUAUCUAGCUAGGGAGUGAUGGAGCCCAGAUCCGAAUCCAGAUGAGGUUUCAUGUGCUGCCCAGGAUGAGCCACUGUGCCCGGCCAAAUGAGCUAUUUAUGAUGAUCAUAAGGACACAAGAUAAGGAAAUCCAAUCAGUUGCUACGUGCUGAUGAUUCUGAUUCUGGCCCUGCAGUAUCGCUUGCAUGCACCUCCUCCUCCCUGUGCUCACUGCUGGAGAAAAGAGAACCUUGGCUGAUGAUUUAUGGAUCUACAAGAUUAGUAGAUUACAUGCCGGAGGAAGUCACCACCAUCACAUAUUGGAUUUCAGCAAGCAUUUGAUAAAAUUGCUUAUAAUAUUUUGGCCAAUAUUGGAUGGAAAAAUAUUGAGGAGAUGAUGUAGUGCUGAAGAAAGACAAGAUGCUGAGGAAGACAAGACUGGUUAACAGAUCAUGGCAUUUUAAAGAUGAAGUCUCACUCUCCACCAUAUGAGGACACAGCGAGAAGGUAGCCACCUGCAAAACAGGAAGAUAGCCUUCACCAGGAACAGAAUCUGCUGGCACCUUGAUCUUGGACUUCGCAGCUUCGAUAAGUCUUCUCCGCCUAAUGGUCCAUUCCCAUUUCCACUGAUGGACCUGCAGCACUCGCCCUCCUCCACUCCCAGGAGGAACCUCCCCCACGGCUGCUGCUACAGGACUGCUUGACUUCUUUAGGCUGCUCCAUCAGGAUUCACAUUCCCCAACCCACACAGAACCUAGCCAGGGCCUUCCUAGCUUCUUUCCUUCCCUUCUUUCCUGAGGGGAAAGUCCACCUUGGGUUUAAAUGGCUUAAGACUGGGCAAUAAGCCUGAUCUCACUCUCAACCUUUGUCUACAUCAUGCUUAUGUUUUGACAAAGUGGAAUUUUACCUGAAGGUUAAGAAAGCCCAUUGCCCUUUUACGUUCUGGAAAAUGACUUACUGCAAGGGGCCACCCUUCCCCGUAUGACUUAGACAAGUUUCAUGAGUGCCCCUUUGUCUACUGAUGACAAAACUAGAUAGGGAUCUUCCAGUCUUCUGUUUUUGACCUCCUAAAUGACUAGCUGAACUGCUUGUCACCACUGAUCAAUCAGAACAAAAUGCCUGUUAGCCAAACUUUGGUUAAGCUUCUCUCCUUCCCCCAGGCCCCUGAGCUUUGGCCCUCCAUAACCCAAGCCAGCAUACAGCCUCUUCUUAGGGACCCCUCCCCACAAAUAGGCUGGCCACCAGGUAGAACAUUCUCUGAUCUACUGUCCCAUGAGGUCACUCUUUCAUUCCUCCUUGAAUUAGCAUAGUGAUGUCACCUUCCUGAGCCUUUUCUUUUUGAGACAGAGUCUUGCUCUGUUGCCCAGGCAGAAGUGUAGUAGUGUAAUCUCAGCUCACUGCAACCUCGGCCUCCUGGACUCAAGCAAUCCUCCCACCUCAGCCUCCCAAGUAGCUGAGACUACAGGUGCCUGCCACCAUGCUUGGCUGAUUUUUUUUGGUACUUUUUGUAGAGACAGGAUUUCAUCAUGUUGCCCAGGCUAGUCUGGAACUCCUGGGUUCAAGCAAUCUGCCCACCAUGGCCUCCUAAAGUGCUAGGAUUACAGGCAUGAGCCACCGUGCCCAGCCCUGAGCCUUAUUUUCACUUCAAUACCAGACAUUGCUAAGUGGCAGUUGCUGGGCCAGGGUCAGCCCCAAAUUUUCUUUAUUCAGUACAUACAGUAUUGGAAAUAUUUAUUUUAAUCAAUUACCACCAUUGAAAAAAAAUCAGGAGACUUUACGUAAAUCUUUUGGCUUCUCUUAAGAAACAGGAUCCGGAAACAUUGUUUCCACCUCCUUGUAAGGUGACAGCACUCAUAACUGGCCUGCUUUGCUCAUUUUCGUGACCUGCCUGGGUUUUGGCUUUAUGUUAACCCUAACCCCUGGCAGAGAGUGCACAGUUCUCUCUCAUAUAGUUGUUAUGAGGUCCAAAUAAAAUAGUGUAUAAAGUAGCUCCCAGUAAGAACUGAAUCAUUAUUACUUCUCCCUUUUUAGUUGCUGAAAUUCAGGUUUGUGAGCUUACGUUGACUUUUAAGCAUCUAAAUAGAUUUUCCAUUUUACAUAGAUGAAUAAUGAUUAAAAAUAGCAAAAGUAGGAUUAGAUGAACACCUGGGAUGAAGCAAAUCCUUAAAGGAAAAUAAUAUGAUCUCAGGAUCUUGAAAACAUGUUUGCAAGAUACAUUUUUCCUUGAGAUUAAAAUCUUAGACUUUUGUUAUCUCUUCCAAAUGAACCAUUUAAUCAAUGAGACAGUUUAUUGGACAAAUAGAUGUUUUCCUUGCACUGUGCCAAAAAACAGAUUUGAUUGAUUUUACAAUUAAAUUGAGGGAAGUGGCUGAUAGUUUUUGCAAACUCAUUCCUUGCCCUUUAUUGAUUUUUGUUUAAAGUUUAGCCAUUGAACAUUACAAUAAAGUAACUAAGCAAGCCACCUUGAACUGACAAAACAAGGGCACUCACUAAGUGAAAACACCACACAUAAUGAUAAGACCUGUCAGAGCACUUAUGGAUUCUGCAUCUGAUCACUGGAAUAUGACGUCUAGAGUACUAGGAUUAAGAAUCUCAGCCUUGAAGUUAAAAAAAAAAAAAAAAAAAGGACUCUUAACCUUUUCCUGGCACAGUGGCUCAUGCCUGUAAUUCCAACACUUUGGGAGGCCAAGGCUGGAGGACUGCUUGAGGCCUGGAGUUUAAGACCAGGCUGGGCAACAUAGUGAGACCCCUCCCCUUCCCAUCUCUACAAAAUAAUAAAUAAAUAAAUAAAUAAAUAAAUAAAUAAAUAAAUAAAUAAAUAAAAGAAUCCCAGCCUUGAGGUUAGCUUUGGACUAUCAAAGCUGCCUCAACUAUUGCUCAUUUAGAGAGCUCAAAAGCUUUUUUAAGAACUCGCUUAUUUGUUUCAUUUCCUCUUCUGAAGAUUUUUUUUGCAGAUCCAGACUUUGAAGAGGCUCCUCCCUCCUGCCAGGCUCACUUGCCCUUGUCCUUGCUGUGACAAAUUACAUAUUUCAAAACUCUCAAGUAGUGCCCCGCUUCUGUCCCAACGCUACCACCACCAUGCAUAUCCCUUGCUGAACUCUGAAACCAAGACUCAGUUUCAGGAAACACAGCUGUCAGAACACUCCUCCAGUUACAGAGUCUACAGGCAUCUCACACUAGGUCUCCAGGUCCCCAUGUCCCAGCAUGAAGUGGGGGUGGAAUGUGGCAGAGGCCUGUCACCUCUCCUCCCUCCAGGGCUGGCAACAACUUCCCCCGACCUGGGUCUUCUGUUUCACAACAGAUUCAGUCUUUUCAACUUCUGGAUGCCUCUCUUGGUAGCUCACACCUGCAAUCCAAGCACUCUGAGGGGCAGAGGAUCCUUUGAGCCUCCGAGUUCAAAAUCAGGCCAGUCAACAUAGUGAUACCCCUUCUCUAUCAAAAAUAAGAACUAAAAAAACUUUUUAAAUGGAUGCUUCUCUUAGCUUAGCUUCUCUUUGCAUUUGAAAAAUGAUGCCAAUUCUUUUCCUCAGGGGACGUCUUUGAAUGCCUCUGGCACUUUCACAGAUUCCUCCUUUUUUUUUUUUUAUGAAGCAAAAUGUGGCAAUUUAGACGUUUCAUUAGUUGUUACUAAGCUGUGUCUCUGCUUGUUUUGUAAACUCUUUCCCAGACCCAGUGGAAAAGCGCAUGCACUUCUUUUACUUUUUUGAAGAGAACUAGCACCCUCUGUAGGCCAAUCUUGUUUAUUAAUAGUUUCUAGUGCCAGUGCCUAAGGCAAAAAAAUUGCAUUUGUCAAACCUAUCUAUGAAAAUCCCUUAAAUUAUCAGGAAGCAUAAAAACCAAGAAUUAGUUUCUUUUGUUUCUGUUUUGGUCAGUGUCUCCCUUUUUUGGAGUAGUGGAUUUCAACAGGGGAGGGAAGC
rnacentral:lncRNA from 10 species